rnacentral:rRNA from 1 species
AUGAACGCUGGCGGCGUGCCUAAUACAUGCAAGUCGAGCGAAUGGAUUAANGAGCUUGCUCUUAUGAAGUUAGCGGCGGACGGGUGAGUAACAAACUGCGUGGGUAACCUGCCCAUAAGACUGGGAGGGAAACCGGGGCUAAUACCGGAUAACAUUUUGAACCGCAUGGUUCGAAAUUGAAAGGCGGCUUCGGNCUGUCACUUAUGGAUGGACCCGCGUCGCAUUAGCUAGUUGGUGAGGUAACGUGACGGCUCACCAAGGCAACGAUGCGUAGCCGACCUGAGAGGGUGAUCGGCCACACUGGGACUGAGACACGGCCCUCCUACGGGAGGCAGCAGUAGGGAAUCUUCCGCAAUGGACGAAAGUCUGACGGAGCAACGCCGCGUGAGUGAUGAAGGCUUUCGGGUCGUAAAACUCUGUUGUUAGGGAAGAACAAGUGCUAGUUGAAUAAGCUGGCACCUUGACGGUAAACCUAACCAGAAAGCCACNNGGCUAACUACGUGCCAGCAGCCGCGGUAAUACGUAGGUGGCAAGCGUUAUCCGGAUUGGGCGUAAAGCGCGCGCAGGUGGUUUCUUAAGUCUGAUGUGAAAGCCCACGGCUCAACCGUGGAGGGUCAUUGGAAACUGGGAGACUUGAGUGCAGAAGAGGAAAGUGGAAUUCCAUGUGUAGCGGUGAAAUGCGUAGAGAUAUGGAGGAACACCAGUGGCGAAGGCGACUUUCUGGUCUGUAACUGACACUGAGGCGCGAAAGCGUGGGGAGCAAACAGGAUAUAGAUACCCUGGUAGUCCACGCCGUAAACGAUGAGUGCUAAGUGUUAGAGGGUUUCCGCCCUUUAGUGCUGAAGUAACGCAUUANNAGCACUCCGCCUGGGGAGUACGGCCGCAAGGCUGAAACUCAAAGGAAUUGACGGGGGCCCGCACACCAAGCGGUGGAGCAUGUGGUUUAAUUCGAAGCAACGCGAAGAACCUUACCAGGUCUUGACAUCCUCUGAAAACCCUAGAGAUAGGGCUUCUCCUUCGGGAGCAGAGUGACAGGUGGUGCAUGGUUGUCGUCAGCUCGUGUCGUGAGAGGUACUGGUUAAGUCCCGCAACGAGCGCAACCCUUGAUCUUAGUUGCCAUCAUUAAGUUGGGCACUCUAAGGUGACUGCCGGUGACAAACCGGAGGAAGGUGGGGAUGACGUCAAAUCAUCAUGCCCCUUAUGACCUGGGCUACACACGUACANNAUGGACGGUACAAAGAGCUGCAAGACCGCGAGGUGGAGCUAAUCUCAUAAAACCGUUCUCAGUUCGGAUUUAGGCUGCAACUCGCCUACAUGAAGCUGGAAUCGCUAGUAAUCGCGGAUCAGCAUGCCGCGGUGAAUACGUUCCCGGGCCUUGUACACACCGCCCGUCACACCACGAGAGUUUGUAACACCCGAAGUCGGUGGGGUAACCUUUUUGGAGGCCGCCUAAGGUGGGACAGAUGAUUGGGGUGAAG